GUCCUUCCUCCCAAUCUAUAAAAAUAUUCAUCUUUCUGACACUUGAAAGAAAAAAAACGCUAUGCUUCCCACUGAAUAAAUUGCCCUCUUAGUGCUCUUUCUUUUCACAGUCAAGAUUCCUGAAGAGGGUAGCUCAUGCUCGUUGCCCUACUUUUCUACUCUUCAUUUACUUCUCAACUCAUGACAAUCUACUGUCUGUCACCAGAAUGUGCCUUCACUAAAAUCAACAAGACUUUGUUAAUUUCUGAACUCAAAGUUAAUAUUUCCAUUAACUUCCUUGACUUCUCUGCAGCAUGUGACCCUAUUAGUCAUUCGCCCCCGUAACUGUCUCCUCUUUUCACUUCCAUGGUAACAUUUUCUCAGCUUCACCCCCAGCUUCUCUGACCAUUCCUCCUUAAUCUCCUUGCCAGCUCCUCUACCUCUACCUACCCCUUAAAUGUUAGUUUUCCUUAGGGUUCUAACCAUUGCCUCUUUUUCUUCUCUUUCUAUAUCUGUACUUCUCAAACUGAAUACACAGAAUAAACAUAGAUAAUUUUAUCUGAAAUUUUUAAUUAUAAUCAGUAGUAAUCAAAACAUUACUUUUAGAUUAGAAUAAAUAAGGAUGUAGCAUAGGAAAGAAUGCAAAAUUUGCAUGGAGAAACAGGGAAGACACCCUAAGUGCUCGCUGUCACUCAUUACAUCCUAUCACCCAAGAAGCUGUGACAAAGUCAGCUCCUUAAAAUUUCUCAAAUGUUUCUUUUCUUCUCCGCUUGCUUUAGUCUAUGUCUUUGUCAUUUUUUACCUAAACUACUGCAGUAACCUCCUACCUUGUGCCUCAUUUGCCAGUUUAGCCCUCCCAUCAUCUUUCACACUUUAGCCAGAGGUUCUUUUAUUGAAACAUAUAACUGUGCUGCCUGAAAACCUCAGGUGGCGCCCUAGCUCUUAGAGACUGAAGUCCAAACUCCUAAAGGUGUGAUCUGGUCACUCACCAUUCCACCUUCUUUCCUUCAUUCAUUUGGCAGCAUAUUUCCUCCAAGUAGCCACACAGUGGGAGAGCUGUGAAGAUACAUUGUCUUCUCUGCCUGCGUGGAGAACGUGUGGAUCAGGGUGGCUCACGUCCUCCUCCCUCUCCCGGCGCCCAUUUCUGCAGGAGAAUGGUUACCUAACAUCAUAUCCCAGUUGAAAAACUGAAGUCCAACAGAAAAGGGGACUCACAAAGAUUUUUACCUAAAAGCAUGAAGAUGAAAGGGAGCUUAAAGUCCAUCAAGUCCGAACUCUACAUUCUAUAGCCAAGGAACAAGAGACCCAGUAGAGGCAAGAGGCUUGUCCAAAGUGAGACAAGAUUCCAAGAAUAGGAAAAUUUCCCAAGCAAAAUUAUUGCUCUCAUUUUUCCAAAGGGGGAAGAAAAGCAUUUGUAUAAAAGUGUGUGUUAAAGUUCCUUCAAAAAGGCAAACAAGUCAAGUUUGACAUAAUUUAUAUCUGUCUACGCAAAAUGAAGUAGCUGUCUGAAUACUUUGUGCCAAAAAUAGAUUUGGCCUAAGUGUCCAGAAGUAGACUGCCAUUAUGUUUAUGAGUCCUAUGAACAAGGAGAAGGGGCAAGAUGGGCAGCAGCAGAAGGAGGAGGAGAAUGAAAAGGAAGAGAAGGAGCAAAAGAAGGAAGAAGGGAGGAGAGAGAAGAGCAAGAGGAGGUGUUAAGUAUUUUCCAGAUUUUUUACAAUGAGCA
rnacentral:lncRNA from 10 species